GAUGAACGCUGGCGGCGUGCCUAACACAUGCAAGUCGAGCGAACAGACGAGGAGCUUGCUCCUCUGACGUUAGCGGCGGACGGGUGUGUAACACGUGGAUAACCUACUUAUAAUACUGGGAUAACUUCGGGAAACCGGCGCUAAUCCCGGAGAAUAUACUGCACCGCAGGGUUCAAUAGUGAAAUACGGUUUUGCUGGCACGUCUAGAUGGAUCCGGGCCGCUUUGGCUGGUUGGUAGGGACACGGCUUAGCAAGGCAAGGAUGCGUAGCCGAACGGAGAGGGGGGUCGCCGACACUGGAGGGGGACCACGGUCCAGACUCCUACGGGAGGCAGCAGUAGGGAAUGUUCCGCAAUGGGCGAAAGCAUGGCGGAGCAGCGCCACGCGAGUGAUGAAGGUCUUCGGAUCGUAAUGCUCUGUUAUUAGGGAUGAACCAAUGUGUAAGUAGCUAUACACGUCUUGACGGUAACGAGUCAGAAAGCCACGGCUAACUACGUG
rnacentral:rRNA from 1 species